UGCACUUCUGCAAUGAAAAGUGAAAAGCAGAUCUACAUGAAGCAACCAGAGCAAUUCGAAGUUAAAGGGGCUGAGAAAAGACUUUGUAGAAGGUCGUGGUUCGACCUGUCGCCUAGGCAAUGGUUUGAUUCCUUCAUGGAUGAAGGAUCGGGGGGCUGCAAAGAUGGUUCUCGGCAUUGAGACUGAAGGAGGAGUAGGCUUUGGUAAUCAUAGGAGGAAUACCUUGUGUGUAGGUAUUGAUCAAGGAUGUGAUGGGCCAGGUAAAGCCGGAGAGCGUUCCCUACGCGUCUCUCCUCAAGUUUUCCUCAGGACAUGUCCCAAAACAGAUGAGGAAAA